GCCGGCAGCCAUAUCACCCUGCAACUCACAACUGGCAACCCACAGAAGCUAAGCAGGUGUGAGCCUGGUCAGUACCUGGAUGGUAGACCUCCUUGGAAAAAACUAAGGUUGCUGCUGGAA
rnacentral:rRNA from 1 species